rnacentral:rRNA from 1 species
GAGUGCGAUCAUUUCAGCACUAAUGCAUCGGAUUCCGUCGAAACUUCGAAGUUAAGCGCUUGAGCGAGAAUAGUUCUAAAAUGGGUUUGUCCUAUGACUUUCAUAGACACAGGCU